GGGCACGCGGCUGUUCCGACCCCACGAGGGAAAGGUUACAUCGGUGGCGGGGGCCUCAGAGACCCGCUGCCGGAGUUCAUGCCGGCGGUGCGAAGACACCAGCCCAGCCGCGGACAGACGCGUCCGUACUUCGGGGCUCAGAGGAAGAGGAGGGGUGUGAAGCAGGGCGGGCUCCCCGGGGGCCUCCCGAAAUCUCUGGAUUACGUGAAAUACCCGUAAACGGAGCAGCGAGUGACACGUUAAACCGACACAAACUACUGUACAGAACGGCAGACACGCAGCAACCAUUCCCGACCAUUUAUUUAACCGUCACACGCACAGACAAGCGGCUUAUCCCUCUGGGACUCUGACAUCCCAGGGCGUCUGCCACCUUCCCAUUGGGUCCCUCGUGUGCACGCGCCGCGUCUAGCUGGUACUUCUUCCAUCUGCCUCUGGGGCGGUUUUGCGCUUCAAGCGGCCUUUCUGGCUCAUGGUUCUGGCACUGUCUACCCCCCCCCCCCCCCC